UACAGAGGGUGCGAGCGUUAAUCGGAUUUACUGGGCGUAAAGCGCACGUAGGCGGAUCAGAAAGUUAGGGGUGAAAUCCCGGGGCUCAACCUCGGAACUGCCUCUAAAACUCCUGGUCUUGAGGUCGAGAGAGGUGAGUGGAAUUCCGAGUGUAGAGGUGAAAUUCGUAGAUAUUCGGAGGAACACCAGUGGCGAAGGCGGCUCACUGGCUCGAUACUGACGCUGAGGUGCGAAAGCGUGGGGAGCAAACAGG
rnacentral:rRNA from 1 species